ensembl:lncRNA
UGAUAGACCUGCUGCAUCUGGGGCACGAGGAUGGGAUCUUGGAUGGAGGGGAGAUAGAAAUGGGACUUGUUGGCACACAGCAGAGCUGAGAACACAGUUUACGUGCCUCACUGCUGCUCCUUUCUCCAUCCCUGGGCCACCAUGUCCCCUGGCCACCAGCACUGUUCAGUCAGUGUGUAUGCUGAGGAACCACGGAGCCCUGUAAAGGCCCUCGUUUAGGUGGUUCAGACUAACAGAGUGCAUCAAGCUGGAAUUGAUGUUUGCAGCACGUUGACUUUUGUAGCAGGAAGAAAAUCAAUGGAAGACUUCAAUUUCUCUCUUCAGACUGAAUCAGAUAAACAUUUUGAGCCAAAGUAACAGAAUUUGUCAUGG